AGUGAACGCUGGCGGUAGGCCUAACACAUGCAAGUCGAACGGCAGCACAGUAAGAGCUUGCUCUUACGGGUGGCGAGUGGCGGACGGGUGAGGAAUACAUCUGAAUCUACUUUUUCGUGGGGGAUAACGUAGGGAAACUUACGCUCAUACCGCAUACGACCUACGGGUGAAAGCAGGGGAUCUUCGGACCUUGCGCGAUUGAAUGAGCCGAUGUCGGAUUAGCUAGUUGGAGGGGUAAAGGCCCACCAAGGCGACGAUCCGUAGCUGGUCUGAGAGGAUGAUCAGCCACACUGGAACUGAGACACGGUGAAGACUCCUACGGGAGGCAGCAGUGGGGAAUAUUGGACAAUAGGAGAAAGACUGAUCCAGCCAUACCGCGUGGGUGAAGAAGGCCUUAGGGUUGUAAAACCCUUUUGUUGGGAAAGAAAAGCAGCAGGUUGAUACCCCGCUGUUCCGACGGUACCAAAAGAAUAAGCACCGGCUAACUUCGUG
rnacentral:rRNA from 1 species